UUGGAGGGCAAGUCUGGUGCCAGCAGCCGCGGUAAUUCCAGCUCCAAUAGCGUAUAUUAAAGUUGUUGCAGUUAAAAAGCUCGUAGUUGAAUUUCGAGACCGGCUUACUGGUCGUGCUAUUGUACGUACUGGUAUAAUCGGUUUCUCCUUUCUGACGAACUAUAAUGCCAUUAAUUUGGUGUUUAGGGAAUCAGGACUGUUACUUUGAAAAAAUUAGAGUGUUUAAAGCAGGCUCACGCUUGAAUACAUUAGCAUGGAAUAACGGAAUAGGACGUUUGAUUCUAUUUUGUUGGUUUCUAGGAUCGACGUAAUGAUUAAUAGGGAUAGUUGGGGGCAUUAGUAUUCAAUUGUCAGAGGUGAAAUUCUUGGAUUUAUUGAAGACUAACUACUGCGAAAGCAUUUGCCAAGGAUGUUUUCAUUAAUCAAGAACAAAAGUUAGGGGAUCGAAGACGAUCAGAUACCGUCGUAGUCUUAACCAUAAACUAUGCCGACUAGGGAUCGGAUGAUGUUAAUUUUUUAAUGACUCAUUCGGCGCCUUACGGGAAAC
rnacentral:rRNA from 1 species